rnacentral:rRNA from 1 species
GAUGAACGCUGACAGAAUGCUUAACACAUGCAAGUCUUUGGCGAAGCUGUGCUUGCACAGCCUAGCCAAGGCGGACGGGUGAGUAACGCGUAAGGGACUUGCCCUGCAGUCAGGGAUAACAGACGGAAACGACUGAUAAGACCUGGUAAAGUCAGGCGGACUCAUGUCCAGCCUGAUGAAAAGGAAUGCUGCAGGAGAGCCUUGCGUCCUAUUAGCUUGUUGGUGGGGUAACGGCCCACCAAGGCGAUGAUAGGUAGCCGGCCUGAGAGGGUGGACGGCCACAAGGGGACUGAGAUACGGCCCUUACUCCUACGGGAGGCAGCAGUGGGGAAUAUUGGACAAUGGGGGCAACCCUGAUCCAGCAAUUCUGUGUGCACGAUGAAGGUCUUCGGAUUGUAAAGUGCUUUCAGCAGGGAAGAAAAAAAUGACGGUACCUGCAGAAGAAGCGACGGCUAAAUACGUGCCAGCAGCCGCGGUAAUACGUAUGUCGCGAGCGUUAUCCGGAGUUAUUGGGCAUAAAGGGCAUCUAGGCGGCCGGAUAAGUCUGGGGUGAAAACUUGCGGCUCAACCGCAAGCCUGCCCUGGAAACUAUGCGGCUAGAGUACUGGAGAGGUGGACGGAACUGCACGAGUAGAGGUGAAAUUCGUAGAUAUGUGCAGGAAUGCCGAUGAUGAAGAUAGUUCACUGGACGGUAACUGACGCUGAAGUGCGAAAGCUAGGGGAGCAAACAGG